CUUCCUAAUUGCUAAUCUUUCUUGAUCUCUCUUUAUCUCUAUUGCUCUUGUCUCUCUUUUUGAUCGGAUGAUCCAAAACCUUAAGAACACCUCCUUAUUUAUACAAAAAACUAUUGCCUUUUCCUAAUCAUAUUAGCUUUUGUAUAUUUUCCUUUUCUUAUACGUCUCGUGAAUUGCUGUAGCCGACAAUUGACAAAUUUGGUAUUGGGUUUAGAAUAGAAUUGGGCCCAUAUCAUUACAAUCUCCACCUUGGGCCCAAAUCCAUAUUCUUCCUUUUGCGUCUUCUUCGUUGACACCAUCUCCUCUCCGUCGCUUAGAAAAAUCCUAGUGACUGGUACCAACCACAACCUCCACUCUUCUCCACUCUGGUUCCUUUGCCUAACAUAACUCGAAAUUUCAUAAGCUCCGUCAAGCUUUCCUGCCGUUUCCUCCAACUGAUCUGUAAUUUUUUUUUUCUCAGACGCAGAGCUUCCCUGAUGACACUCCACCUCACCGGUGUGAUUCCGACCACAUUCAUCUCAAUCAGAACUCGCCUCAACCUCUGACGCUCAUGUAUUUCUACUUCGUGGCUGCCUCCUUGACUUCGAUUCUAAAACAGAAUCCAUCGUUUUGACGGCAAAUCCUCUACCGUCAUAACUAUCAUGAGAAGUCACCACUUUCACCACGCUUUACCAAAUCACUGGUCAAUCUCCAGAAAACCAAGUGAAACUUCAAACCGUGAAGUCCAACUAUAUGGCUAUGUCUUUUCCGGUGGAACCUACGCUCGUUUCUUCUUCCUGGCUCAAAGUUUACGUCUUUGGAAUCCCCCUCCAAACACAGCUCCAAACUUACCGAUAGCUUCUGUUCCACACAUGGAUAGUCUCAGUUGAUUCUCAUCGCACCAGAUCCUUCUCCUUAAAUCGCGACUUCCUUGGUGGCGACAACUGACGACUCCGUGUGAAUGAUACACGAGAUUUUGGAACUACUUCAUCGAGAUUCUCCUGUCAAUUGUGGCACUUCUCUAGCUUGUUUACAGAACACGUUUCUCUCCAGCUUCUUGGAACUACUUUCAGUUUCCUCAGCUGUUUAAGACGAUCAUCCCGUGUGCUUCUCAUGUACCAGAGAUACUCAUCUCCCUUCACCUUUGCUGGUGUUUAAGAUGUUCUCUCAUCAAUCUUCUCCUUCCUUGUUUGGCGACCCGUUGCAAUUUUUUUUUUUUAGCCUGAGAUACUCGUCUCCCUUCACCAUUCUUGAUGUUUAAGACGUUCUCUCAGGUAGCACUUCAAAAACCUCUCCUACCCUCCAUCCGAUUUACUUGAGACCUAUUAGCAAUUUUCCUAUGUCUCAGCUGCUCCACCUUGAACUGAAACAUCCACCUCGUCUUAUCCGUCACAGGUAACCUUUCUUGCUCCCUACUGGCUUUUCAUUAUCGAUAAGAAAUAAUAGUAGUUCCUUACUCAUUAUUUCUUCUUGUGCGAGGUGUCUCGAUAAUGACGUUACCUGUGACGCUUUUCUCCUAUUAGUGGACAUUGGGAAGUUCACAGCAAAGCUGCAACUUCUGAUCAGGUGCCUUUUCAUUCAACCUCUCUUCAUGAUUAGCCGUUGUAUCCGUCUUGUUCGAUACGUCUUCCUUCUUGACUGCCGUAAUGAUAGAAUUGCCUUCUGUGUCACUAACUUCGAAUUCAAACCCUGUAGUUGAUGCUUCCUCAUCGUUUGUUGCAUAAUCUGAGUUUGUGAAACUUUCAAUGCAAAACUCUGAAUCAUUCUUGAA